rnacentral:lncRNA from 1 species
AAGAUUGAUUAUGGAUGGAAGAUUAAGAUUGUUGUUUAUUGAGAGUUGUGUGUGUGUGUUUUGACAGAGGAAGUCUGUGAUUAUAGGAAUUUUGUGAAUUCAGAUUGGUUGUAGUGAAGUCUGUUAUUUUUUGUGUUGGAUGGAAUUUAUUGAGUUUUGAGCAGUCUUUUGAGAGUGCACGAUUGCAGAUUGUGGUUAUCAAUUGAUGAAGGAGUAUUGUUACAGGGAGAAAGUAUUGUAGUAUUUCUUAGUAUUUUAGUAGUUCAGAAUACAAUUAAUUGUGUGAUCCUAAUAAGUGAAACUCAUGCGCUUAGUCUUUCCAUGUGUUUGAAUUCUCCUAUAUAGAUUUAUUUUGGAAAGAAUUGUAGAAUAAGUAAAACAAUAAUCACAGUAUCUCUGCCGCUUGUUGUUGAUAUAGAAAAUAUGAAGCAUACAAUGUUGUCACGUUCGGUGGUAUAGUUGGCAAUGG